rnacentral:rRNA from 1 species
UACGUAGGGUGCAAGCGUUAAUCGGAAUUACUGGGCGUAAAGCGUGCGCAGGCGGUGAUGUAAGACAGAUGUGAAAUCCCCGGGCUCAACCUGGGAACUGCAUUUGUGACUGCAUCGCUGGAGUGUGGCAGAGGGAGGUGGAAUUCCGCGUGUAGCAGUGAAAUGCGUAGAUAUGCGGAGGAACACCGAUGGCGAAGGCAGCCCCCUGGGAUGUGACUGACGCUCAUGUACGAAAGCGUGGGGAGCAAACAGG